UGAAUACGAGACGCUAAGGCGUCGAAGUAGUGUAUGUCAUACUUCCAAGAAAAGCUUGCACUGUCAUAGAUAAAAAACGCCUGUACCAUAACCGACACAGGUGGGUAGGUAGAGUAUACUAAGGGGCGCGAGAUAACUCUCUCUAAGGAACUCGGCAAAAUAACUCCGUAACUUCGGGAGAAGGAGUGCCUUAUUCGUAAGGUUGCAAUAACAAGAUCCAAGCAACUGUUUAUCAAAAACACAGGUCUCCGCUAAGUCGUAAGACGAUGUAUGGGGGCUGACGCCUGCCCAGUGCCAGAAGGUUAAAGAAGUUGGUUAGCAAUUGCGAAGCUGAUAACUGAAGCCCUGGUGAACGGCGGCCGUAACUAUAACGGUCCUAAGGUAGCGAAAUUCCUUGUCGGGUAAGUUCCGACCCGCACGAAAGGCGUAAUGAUUUGGAUACUGUCUCGGAGAGGGGCUCGGUGAAAUAGACUUGUCUGUGAAGAUGCGGACUACCUGCACCAGGACAGAAAGACCCUAUGAAGCUUUACUGUAACUUGAAAUUGAAAUUGGACUUUAUUCGCGCAGUAUAGGUGGGAGGCGUUGAUUAUAAUCUUGUGGGAUUAUUGGAGCCAUCAGUGAGAUACCACUCUUGUAAUGUUAGAUUUCUAACUUUGAAUCAUUAUCUGGUCAAAGAACAGUUUCAGGCGGGCAGUUUGACUGGGGCGGUCGCCUCCUAAACGGUAACGGAGGCGUACAAAGGUUUCCUCUGAACGGUUAGAAAUCGUAUCUAGAGUGUAAAUGCAUAAGGAAGCUUGACUGUGAGACCUACAAGUCGAGCAGGGACGAAAGUCGGUCUUAGUAUCUGACGGUACUGAGUGGAAAGGCCGUCACUCAACGGAUAAAAGUUACUCUAGGAUAACAGGCUGAUCUCCCCCAAGAGUUCACAUCGACGGGGAGGUUUGGCACCUUGAUGUCGGCUCAUCGCAUCCUGGGGCGGUAGUACGUCCCAAGGGUUGGGCUGUUCGCCCAUGAAAGCGGUACGCGAGCUGGGUUCAGAACGUCGUGAGACAGUUCGGUCCAUAUCCGGUGUAGGCGUUAGAAUAUUGAGAGGAGCCUUCUUUAGUACGAGAGGACCGAGAAGGACAUACCUCUGGUGUACCAGUUAUCGUGCCAACGGUAAACGCUGGGUAGCUAUGUAUGGAGUGGAUAACCGCUGAAAGCAUCUAAGUGGGAAGCCCACCUCAAGAUAAG
rnacentral:rRNA from 1 species